rnacentral:rRNA from 1 species
AUUGAACGCUGGCGGCAGGCCUAACACAUGCAAGUCGAACGGUAACAGGAAGCAGCUUGCUGCUUCGCUGACGAGUGGCGGACGGGUGAGUAAUGUCUGGGAAACUGCCUGAUGGAGGGGGAUAACUACUGGAAACGGUAGCUAAUACCGCAUAACGUCGCAAGACCAAAGAGGGGGACCUUAGGGCCUCUUGCCAUCGGAUGUGCCCAGAUGGGAUUAGCUAGUAGGCGGGGUAACGGCUCACCUAGGCGACGAUCCCUAGCUGGUCUGAGAGGAUGACCAGCCACACUGGAACUGAGACACGGUCCAGACUCCUACGGGAGGCAGCAGUGGGGAAUAUUGCACAAUGGGCGCAAGCCUGAUGCAGCCAUGCCGCGUGUAUGAAGAAGGCCUUCGGGUUGUAAAGUACUUUCAGCGGGGAGGAAGGGAGUAAAGUUAAUACCUUUGCUCAUUGACGUUACCCGCAGAAGAAGCACCGGCUAACUCCGUG